rnacentral:rRNA from 1 species
CAGUCGCCACGGUAAUACGAAGGGUGCAAGCGUUACUCGGAAUUACUGGGCGUAAAGCGUGCGUAGGCGGUGGUUUAAGUCCGUUGUGAAAGCCCUGGGCUCAACCUGGGAAUUGCAUUGGAUACUGGGUAACUAGAGUGUGGUAGAGGAUAGUAGAAUUUCAGGUGUAGCAGUGAAAUGCGUAGAGAUCGGAAGGAACAUCUGUGGCGAAGGCGACUAUCUGGGCCAACACUGACACUGAGGCACGAAAGCGUGGGGAGCAAACAGGAUUAGAUACCCCGGUAGUCCCUGUCUCUUAUAC